rnacentral:rRNA from 1 species
AGUGAACGCUGGCGGUAGGCCUAACACAUGCAAGUCGAACGGCAGCACAGUAAGAGCUUGCUCUUACGGGUGGCGAGUGGCGGACGGGUGAGGAAUACAUCGGAAUCUACUUUUUCGUGGGGGAUAACGUAGGGAAACUUACGCUAAUACCGCAUACGACCUACGGGUGAAAGCAGGGGAUCUUCGGACCUUGCGCGAUUGAAUGAGCCGAUGUCGGAUUAGCUAGUUGGCGGGGUAAAGGCCCGCCAAGGCGACGAUCCGUAGCUGGUCUGAGAGGAUGAUCAGCCACACUGGAACUGAGACACGGUCCAGACUCCUACGGGAGGCAGCAGUGGGGAAUAUUGGACAAUGGGCGCAAGCCUGAUCCAGCCAUACCGCGUGGGUGAAGAAGGCCUUCGGGUUGUAAAGCCCUUUUGUUGGGAAAGAAAAGCAGCAGGUUAAUACCUCGCUGUUCUGACGGUACCCAAAGAAUAAGCACCGGCUAACUUCGUG